rnacentral:misc_RNA from 1 species
GAUGAAGAACGUAGCGAAAUGCGAUAAGUAAUGUGAAUUGCAGAAUUCAGUGAAUCAUCGAAUCUUUGAACGCACAUUGCGCCCCCUGGUAUUCCGGGGGGCAUGCCUGUUCGAGCGUCAUUUCACCACUCAAGCCUCGCUUGGUAUUGGGCAACGCGGUCCGCCGCGUGCCUCAAAUCGACCGGCUGGGUCUUCUGUCCCCUAAGCGUUGUGGAAACUAUUCGCUAAAUGGUGUUCGGGAGGCUACGCCGUAAAACAACCCCAUUUCUAAGGUUGACCUCGGAUCAGGUAGGGAUACCCGCUGAACUUAAGCAUAUCAAUAAGCGGAGGA